CCUACGGGAGGCAGCAGUGAGGAAUAUUGGUCAAUGGACGAGAGUCUGAACCAGCCAAGUAGCGUGAAGGAUGACUGCCCUAUGGGUUGUAAACUUCUUUUAUAUGGGAAUAAAACGUUCCACGUGUGGGAUUUUGUAUGUACCAUAUGAAUAAGGAACGGCUAACUCCGUGCCAGCAGCCGCGGUAAUACGGAGGAUCCGAGCGUUAUCCGGAUUUAUGUGGUGUAAAGGGAGCGUAGGUGGAUUGUUAAGUCAGUUGUGAAAGUGUGUGGCUUAACCGUAAAAUUGCAGUUGAAACUGGCAGUCUUGAGUACAGUAGAGGUGGGCGGAAUUCGUGGUGUAGCGGUGAAAUGCUUAGAGAUCACGAAGAACUCUGAUUGCGAAGGCAGUUCACUGGACUGCAACUGACACUGAGGCUCGAAAGUGUGGGUAUCAAACAGGAUUAGAUACCCUGGUAGUC
rnacentral:rRNA from 1 species